AAUUCUUCGAAGAUUACUGCGAUGAUCAAGAUGGAAUUUUGACUCUAAUAAGGCAACCUGAGGGUUCAAUUGCGCUAAAACUAACUGGAAUGGAAGAAGGGGAAGUUCUCUAAGGCAAAAGUUUCUUUCCUUCCUGAAUCCUGACCACAAAAUAAAUAUAUAAAUUUAAGGGACAUUCAUACUUUGGUGGGUCACUCAUAAUUGGGAAAAUGACAACGAACAAUUCUGUAGAUGAAAGUGAUUGCUGAAACAUGAAUUCUCG
rnacentral:misc_RNA from 1 species